rnacentral:rRNA from 1 species
UACGAAGGGAGCUAGCGUUGUUCGGAAUCACUGGGCGUAAAGCGCACGUAGGCGGAUGUGUCAGUCAGGGGGUGAAAUCCCGGAGCUCAACUUCGGAACUGCCUUUGAUACUGGGAAGCUUGAGUCCGGGAGAGGUGAGUGGAACUCCGAGUGUAGAGGUGAAAUUCGUAGAUAUUCGGAAGAACACCAGUGGCGAAGGCGGCUCACUGGACCGGCAUUGACGCUGAGGUGCGAAAGCGUGGGGAGCAAACAGG